rnacentral:rRNA from 1 species
GACGUAGGGCGCGAGCGUUGUCCGGAUUUAUUGGGCGUAAAGAGCUCGUAGGCGGCUUGUCGCGUCGACUGUGAAAACUCGGGGCUCAACUCCGAGCUUGCAGUCGAUACGGGCAGGCUAGAGUUCGGUAGGGGAGACUGGAAUUCCUGGUGUAGCGGUGAAAUGCGCAGAUAUCAGGAGGAACACCAGUGGCGAAGGCGGUGCUCUGGGCCGGAACUGACGCUGAGGUGCGAAAGCGUGGGGAGCAAACAGG